AGAGUUUGAUCCUGGCUCAGGACGAACGCUGGCGGCGUGCUUAACACAUGCAAGUCGAGCGAUGAGAUCCCUUCGGGGAUGGAUUAGCGGCGAACGGGUGAGGAACACGUGAAGAAUCUGCCUUCAACUCUGGGAUAACACCGGGAAACCGGUGCUAAUACCGGAUAUGAGCCUUGAUCGCAUGAUCGGGGCUGGAAAGUUUUUCGGUUGAAGAUGACUUCGCGGCCUAUCAGCUAGUUGGUGAGGUAAUAGCUCACCAAGGCGACGACGGGUAGCCGGCCUGAGAGGGCGACCGGCCACACUGGGACUGAGACACGGCCCAGACUCCUACGGGAGGCAGCAGUGGGGAAUAUUGGGCAAUGGACGAAAGUCUGACCCAGCGACGCCGCGUGAGGGAUGAAGGCCUUCGGGUUGUAAACCUCUUUCAGCAGGGAAGAAGCGAAAGUGACGGUACCUGCAGAAGAAGCACCGGCUAACUAUGUGCCAGCAGCCGCGGUAAUACAUAGGGUGCAAGCGUUGUCCGGAAUUAUUGGGCGUAAAGAGCUCGUAGGUGGUUAGUUACGUCGGAUGUGAAAAUCUAGGGCUCAACCCUAGACCUGCAUCCGAUACGGGCUAGCUUGAGUUUGGUAGGGGAGACUGGAAUUCCUGGUGUAGCGGUGGAAUGCGCAGAUAUCAGGAGGAACACCAAUGGCGAAGGCAGGUCUCUGGGCCAAUACUGACACUGAGGAGCGAAAGUGUGGGGAGCGAACAGGAUUAGAUACCCUGGUAGUCCACACAGUAAACGAUGGGCACUAGUUGUGGGAACCUUCCACGGUUUCUGCGACGCAGCUAACGCAUUAAGUGCCCCGCCUGGGGAGUACGAUCGCAAGAUUAAAACUCAAAGGAAUUGACGGGGCCCCGCACAAGCAGCGGAGCAUGCGGCU
rnacentral:rRNA from 1 species